rnacentral:rRNA from 1 species
GACGAACGCUGGCGGCGUGCCUAAUACAUGCAAGUCGAACGGAUCUUGUUUAGAAGCUUGCUUCUAAGCUUGGUUAGUGGCGGACGGGUGAGUAACACGUAGGCAACCUGCCCACAAGAUCGGGAUAACAUUCGGAAACGAAUGCUAAGACCGGAUAAACAAUUUGGCCGCAUGGCUGAAUUGGGAAACAUGGAGCAAUCUAUGGCUUGUGGAUGGGCCUGCGGCGCAUUAGCUAGUUGGUGGGGUAAUGGCUCACCAAGGCGACGAUGCGUAGCCGACCUGAGAGGGUGAACGGCCACACUGGGACUGAGACACGGCCCAGACUCCUACGGGAGGCAGCAGUAGGGAAUCUUCCACAAUGGGCGAAAGCCUGAUGGAGCAACGCCGCGUGAGUGAGGAAGGCUUUCGGGUCGUAAAGCUCUGUUGCCAGGGAAGAAUAAGGAUGAGAGUCACUGCUCAUCCGAUGACGGUACCUGAGAAGAAAGCCCCGGCUAACUACGUGCCAGCAGCCGCCGUAAUAC